GAUGAACGCUGGCGGCGUGCCUAAUACAUGCAAGUCGAGCGAACAGACGAGGAGCUUGCUCCUCUGACGUUAGCGGCGGACGGGUGAGUAACACGUGGAUAACCUACCUAUAAGACUGGGAUAACUUCGGGAAACCGGAGCUAAUACCGGAUAAUAUAUUGAACCGCAUGGUUCAAUAGUGAAAGACGGUUUUGCUGUCACUUAUAGAUGGAUCCGCGCCGCAUUAGCUAGUUGGUAAGGUAACGGCUUACCAAGGCAACGAUGCGUAGCCGACCUGAGAGGGUGGUCGGCCACACUGGAAGUGAGACACGGUCCAGACUCCUACGGGAGGCAGCAGUAGGGAAUCUUCCGCAAUGGGCGAAAGCCUGACGGAGCAACGCCGCGUGAGUGAUGAAGGUCUUCGGAUCGUAAAACUCUGUUAUUAGGGAAGAACAAAUGUGUAAGUAACUAUGCACGUCUUGACGGUACCUAAUCAGAAAGCCACGGCUAACUACGUG
rnacentral:rRNA from 1 species